AGUUGAUGCACAUGGCGGUCGUUUCUCCCAGUGCCGCCGCAUCAGCUGUUCCCCUCUGGAGGUUUUAGACCUUCACACUUAAAGGCCCCAAGUUUACUUGUGGGCCUCUUUU
rnacentral:sRNA from 1 species